rnacentral:misc_RNA from 1 species
GCUUUUCCAUUAGUUCUU